UCUGAGUGACUGGAGGCAAGAUGCAGGACCCCAACGCAGACACCGAGUGAAAUGACAUCCUACGUAAAAAGGGCAUCCUUCCCCCUAAGGAGAGUCUGAAGGAGCUGGAGGAGGAGGAAGAGGAAAAGGAGGAGCGGCUCCUCCAGCAGUCAGUGGUGAAAACAUAUGAGGACAUGACUCUGGAAGAGCUGGAGGAGAACGAGGAUGAGUUCAGUGAGGAGGACGAACGAGUUAUCGAGAUGUACCGGCAGCAAUGGUUGGCUGAGUGGAAAGCAACUCAGCUGAAGAACAAAUUUGGAGAAGUUUUAGAGAUCUCAGGAAAGGACUAUGUUCAAGAAGUGACAAAAGCUGGAGAGGGCUUGUGGGUGGUCUUACAUUUGUACAAACAAGGGAUCCCCCUCUGUUCCUUGAUAAACCAUCACUUGAGUGGACUCGCCAGGAAGUUUCCCGAUGUGAAAUUUAUCAAAGCCAUUUCAACGACCUGCAUACCCAAUUACCCUGACAGGAAUCUCCCCACAGUGUUCGUCUACCGGGAAGGGGAUAUCAAGGCACAGUUCAUUGGUCCUCUGGUGUUUGGUGGCAUGAACCUGACCAUAGAUGAGUUGGAAUGGAAACUGUCCGAGUCUGGAGCAAUCAAGACGGAGCUGGAGGAGAACCCCAAGAAACCCAUCCAAGACCUGCUACUGUCCUCAGUGUGGGGCCCUGUCCCCAUGAGGAGGGACAGUGAUUCUGAGGACAACUAAGAUAGCAGUGAUGUAAAGUUUGAACUUUUUUGAUAUGACACAUUGUCUGGAUUUUUAAUAAGGAGGGAAAAGCAAAAAAUUAUCAUCUUGGUUUUUAACCUUUUUAUAAUUAUUUAAAUUUUAUACAUUUCAGAUAUAAUCAUUGCUGAAAUUUUUUAAAACAUUUGUUGAAACUCU